GAUGAUGCCCAGCUUGCUGGGUGGAUUAGUGGCGAACGGGUGAGUAAUACGUGAGUAACCUGCCCUUGACUCUGGGAUAAGCCUGGGAAACUGGGUCUAAUACUGGAUACUACCUUUCAUCGCAUGGUGGGGGGUGGAAAGGGUUUUACUGGUUUUGGAUGGGCUCACGGCCUAUCAGCUUGUUGGUGGGGUAAUGGCUCACCAAGGCGACGACGGGUAGCCGGCCUGAGAGGGUGACCGGCCACACUGGGACUGAGACACGGCCCAGACUCCUACGGGAGGCAGCAGUGGGGAAUAUUGCACAAUGGGCGAAAGCCUGAUGCAGCGACGCCGCGUGAGGGAUGACGGCCUUCGGGUUGUAAACCUCUUUCAGUAGGGAAGAAGCGCAAGUGACGGUACCUGCAGAAGAAGCGCCGGCUAACUACGUGCCAGCAGCCGCGGUAAUACGUAGGGCGCAAGCGUUGUCCGGAAUUAUUGGGCGUAAAGAGCUCGUAGGCGGUUUGUCGCGUCUGCUGUGAAAGCCCGGGGCUCAACCCCGGGUCUGCAGUGGGUACGGGCAGACUAGAGUGCAGUAGGGGAGACUGGAAUUCCUGGUGUAGCGGUGAAAUGCGCAGAUAUCAGGAGGAACACCGAUGGCGAAGGCAGGUCUCUGGGCUGUUACUGACGCUGAGGAGCGAAAGCAUGGGGAGCGAACAGGAUUAGAUACCCUGGUAGUCCAUGCCGUAAACGUUGGGCACUAGGUGUGGGGGACAUUCCACGUUUUCCGCGCCG
rnacentral:rRNA from 1 species